UAAAGGAACAUGGAAAGGAUGAUCAGGC
rnacentral:piRNA from 1 species